GCUCGCUUAGCUCAGUUGGUUAGAGCGUCGUACUAAUAUUUCUACAAUAUGCAAUGCGAAGGUCGCCAGUUCGACCCUGGUAGUGAGCA